GGCUAGAUAGAGCUGGAGCAAUCCUUACGAUGUGGCAAAAACUCCUUCAAUCUGUAAAAUCAGUCAAGAAAUCAGAUGGAGAUUCUCCGAUUCUUGACCCUCCGAUACUUAAGUUAGUUCGAACAUUGAGAAUAGAGGUGGAAAAGAGUUAAAGAGUAAGAGAACUUAGAUAGAACUGGAGGAGAAUUGUGUAGGAGCCAAGAAUUUGACUUGAUAUCC
rnacentral:lncRNA from 1 species